rnacentral:snRNA from 1 species
GUGCUCACCUGGGCAGCACAUACACUCAAAUCAGAACGGCACAGAGAGGAUUAGCAUGGCCCCUGCAUAAGGAUGACAUGCAAAUCCAUGAAAGAUUCCACACUGUC